AGCGCCAACACGCCCUCAGGUAAAGGUGGAAGUAAAUGGCCACGCUGUAUUGACAGAGGUAGGGUUUGUUUUUUAAUACUCGUUCUCACUUUAAGUCUCACCAGGGAGGGGUUUGGGAAGCACUGCGUGUUUGGGGGACGUUUUGCGCUUCCUGGUCUCUCCAGCCUACAAGUCGGGAGUCGGCGACCGCUUAGUGACGAGCGAUGAUUUUAAAGAGCAGAAUAAAAGGUUUUCCCGUGCCUGCCCCACAGCCCCUCCAGCUCGAAUAAUGGAGAACUGUCAAUGCACUCCGCGAGCGGUGGCCCAUUGUACGCAGCUGAUGGCGAGGAGGCGACUGGGGGUAGCAGGGGCUCCUUGCCCUCGUCCCUAUGCCCAAAUAAACGCGCAAACGCGCUCCCGUCUUCUGGUCAGUUAAAAGGUGAAACGAACACGAUUAAAAUAGACCAAAAGAAAAGAAAGAAAAGAAAACCUUUCUAUGUACAGAUUCUAAAUCGUACUCCCCAUACAGUCAGAGGCAGGGAGUCGAGGGCAGAGGCAGCAGGCGGAGAGAGGGAGAUAGGGCGAGGGAAGGAGAACGCGGAGAGAGACGAAGGGAGUGGGAGACCAGCGACAGCGAGCGCCAGGGCACCGCAGGCACACUGGAUGCCCAGUCCGCCGGCCCAGCCGCCCUCGGACCCUGGACCGUGCGUCGUGGGCACCAGAAACGAGACUCGGCCAAAUCCUGCCUCACCAGCAGGUAGAUGAAACUCAAGAGAAAAGGUGUGGAUAAAUGAAACUAGCCCAUGAUGAACCUGUUUUCUCCGUGACCACAAUAUUAACCAGGAUGAAUGGCGGUGGCAGUGGGCCUGCAUCACAGGUUGCAGCAGAUGUUCUCAAUAUUUCUAUUAAAAUUUCCUUAUUUCCAUAUGCAAGAGGAGCCCCAGAGCUGCAUCCUUAUGGUAGCUACCAUGCCGUGAUGUAAGCUGCCAUUCACUGGGGAGCUUUGGCAAUAGAAUUGGCUAGAUCAGGAAGCCUAUGUCAACUAUGGAACAACAACUUGCAGCUCAUCUCUAUUGAUGAUGGAAUCUCGCUAUGUCACCAGGCUGGAGUGCAGUGGCGCAACCUCGGCUCAGCGCAACAUCCGCCUCCCGGGUUCAAGUGAUUCUCCUACCUCAGCCUCCUGAGUAGCUGGGAUUACAGGAAUCUAAUGACCAUUGAACUGUGGCCAUGACUUCAAUUACAAGUAUUUUCUUCACUAAUGUCAGACUGUGGGCCUUUGUAUAUACACUUUUAACAAACUUUUUGGAAGUGCAAUACAUAUCGCAACAACUUCUCAAUGCUGAAUCAUAGUAUUGGAAGACAUUUUAAGCAACAAUUAAACUCAACUUAUUUACUACCAAUAAUGUACAUAAGUCAGCUGAAGUGAGGAUAACAUGAAUAGCACAAAUACAUUAUGAUUGCUGCCUGGCCAACAGUAAUUAUAAGAAACUGUCAGUUUUGAGAUGUGUCUUGAUUUCAGAGAUGUUAAAAAAGUUUUGGCUGUAGUUAUGCCACAGACAUGACCAAAGAGAGAGCUUUGUCACAGAUGAGCAAAGGUGAAACAGUCGCAAAUGGAAUUCCAAGAAACAUUCUAUAUACACUGCCUCUAGGACUGGGACAGAUAGCCACUGAGUACCUGCUUCAAAUCACCCUGCACGUUUUCUCUUUGGAAAGAUAAGCACUGGAGAACCAUCUCGUUACCUUCAGCAGAAAUGGAAACAAAUCAAGACAUUAAGAAUGCCGCAGUGGACAGCAGUUAUGCAAGGUUCAGCAGAGGAAGUUUUCAAGAUGGUGUGCCUCACUAGCCAGAAAUCAGAAAAGAUCGAAGCUAGCCUUUUCAUCUCAGCUGCUCCUUAAAUCAGUGCAACCCCUCCAAAUUAAUGUGAAUUGAAACUUGCAUUGCUUUUCAACUUAAUUGAAUACUUACUAUAUGUGAACCACUGCACAAAAUAGGGGAAGAAGAUGUGGGAGACAAAGAUGUGGAGCCUGUCUUCAAUAAAUUUACAGUUAGUUUCAG
rnacentral:lncRNA from 1 species